rnacentral:tRNA from 1 species
AUUUUAUUAGUAUAAAUAGUAUAUUUGUUUUCCAAACAAAGGGUUUAAUUGUGAUUAAAUAAAAUA